UCCUGGUUAACCCAGGCAGUCUCGUUAGAGUUCCCGCCAUUACGCGCUGGCAACUAACGAUAAGGGUUGCGCUCGUUGCUGGACUUAACCAAACACCUCACGGCACGAGCUGACGACAGCCAUGCAGCACCUAUAUAGAGACCCUUUCGGGAAAUAACGUUUCUGUUAUCGUCCUCUACAUUUCGAGCCCAGGUAAGGUUCUUCGCGUUGCAUCGAAUUAAACCACAUGCUCCACUGCUUGUGCGGGCCCCCGUCAAUUCUUUUGAGUUUCACCCUUGCGAGCGUACUCCCCAGGCGGUAUACUUAAUGCGUUAGCUUCGGUACAGAGGGGGUUGAUCCCUCCUACACCUAGUAUACAUCGUUUAUUGCAAGGACUAC
rnacentral:misc_RNA from 1 species